AACAUCUUUAGGCUGCAAUCAAGCGGUGGUGGUUGGUCUCUGGAGUUCAAGGCUUCUUCUUUGAAGAGAAACAGCCAGAUUGCAGACCCAACACAAUAUUCAGUGCAAUAGAUAACGUCUGGGUUGAUACAAAGAAAAGCAAUGCUUGCAAAAGGGGAAAGAGGGAAGGUGACUACACUCCUGGCAACUUCUUCCCUGCCUAUCAGGUGUCAUGCAAGGAUCAGUGGCUCCUGCUGAAUAGGGACCUUGAAAUGGCAUUUCCAUCCAGCCCUUAAAGCACCUGUGCCUGUCUGAAACUGAAGCUUAUGCUUGCUUAUGCUUGUUUCUUGCUGUUAUGUGCCUUCAAGCCAGCUCCAACAUAAGGAGACCCAUUCACAGAGCUUAUUCAGAGGAAGUUUGCCACUGUCUUCCACUAAAGAGGGUAUUAUUUCGCCCAAGUCCCCUUCUCAACCAUGGAAACCCACUGGGUGACUUUCGCUAUUCUUCUUGGCUUUUGACAGCUGUUUACUCAAGUGAUAUCAAAGCCCCAAUCCAGAUGGACAGGAUGGAAUGCCGGGAGCCAGCAAACAUGGUCCAUCUUCUUUUGUAUUGUCUUAUGAACCACCUGAGCAUUACCUUAUCACUGGAGGAAUCUUUCUGUUGAUUUAUCACCACCUGUUUGCUUACUUCCACAGCUGUCAGACUAGUUAAAACUGUGGGAGAUGGGCAUCUCUGUCCUUGAGCUAAAAGAUAAAAUUCUCUGCAAAGGAGCAGAAAUUAUUCUGCAAUGCCCAAAAUAAAUUGUGCAGGUUUCAACACUCUAGUAUUGAUGGAAUCCUAUGUACUUGCUUCAGCAAGGGCCCUUUCACAUUACACAACUAUAGAACUAUGAUCCCCUUAACUUCCAUGGCUCAAUCCUAUGGGAUUCUGGGAUUUGCCCUUUAAGGAGUGGUACUUUGAAUUCUCAAACAGAGAGCUCUAAUGCCUCAUGAAACUACAGACCUUAAGAUGCUGUAGAAUAAAACUAUGGCAGUUAAAGUGGAAUCAUAGUGCUACAACUGUGUAGUGUGAAAGGACCUCUGAUUGGGGCUGUGCCUUUUCCUCUGAAUAUUCUGAGACUGCUGCUGAGCAGGGUUGGUCCUACCAUUGGGCAGAGUGAGGUAGCCAUUUCAGGCAAAACAUUGGUUAUUUGAUUAUUUUGUUAUUAUUUUAUUUUUGCUGCCAGGUAUGAGGCAAAGGUGGUGUGAUGAUUAUGGGAUUAUUAUUAUUAUUAGCUCACAUGUCUAAAUAAUUUGACUGACCUAUCCAACUCAUCCAAUGGUACCUUGACUUGGGUGAUAUUGCGGCCAAUGCCAUUUGUUACUCUGCUUCAAGCAGCAAAAUGCCUCAGCCUAUCCCUCCCUUUAAGUAGAAACGUGUAUUAUCAAAAGGUUGAUCUCCUCAGACUUCAGCUUUUUGGAAAAGCUAAAAACAAAACAAAACCCUCCAAUGUACAUUAAUAGAGAUUUUCUCAAUUUUGCCACAGUUUUAAAUAACAAGUACAAAAA